UACAGAGGGUGCGAGCGUUAAUCGGAAUUACUGGGCGUAAAGCGCGCGUAGGCGGCUUUGCAAGCCGGAUGGGAAAUCCCCGGGCUUAACCUGGGAACUGCAUUCGGGACUGCAUUGCUAGAGUAUGGGAGAGGGAAGUGGAAUUUCAGGUGUAGCGGUGAAAUGCGUAGAUAUCUGAAGGAACAUCAGUGGCGAAAGCGACUUCCUGGACCAAUACUGACGCUCAUGUGCGAAAGCGUGGGGAGCAAACAGG
rnacentral:rRNA from 1 species